UACGAAGGGGGCUAGCGUUGUUCGGAAUCACUGGGCGUAAAGCGCACGUAGGCGGGUUGUUAAGUCGGGGGUGAAAUCCUGGAGCUCAACUCCAGAACUGCCUUCGAUACUGGCGACCUUGAGUCCGGGAGAGGUGAGUGGAACUCCGAGUGUAGAGGUGAAAUUCGUAGAUAUUCGCAAGAACACCAGUGGCGAAAGGCGGCUCAC
rnacentral:rRNA from 1 species